GUGAUUAUUUCAGCAGCAUAUAAACUAAAAUUGGAACAACACAGAGAAAAUUAGUAUGGCCCUUACACAAGGAUGACACAGAAAUUUGUGAAGUGUUCAUACCUUGC